AGAGUUUGAUCAUGGCUCAGAAUGAACGCUGGCGGCAGGCCUAACACAUGCAAGUCGAACGGGUCCUUCGGGACUAGUGGCGGACGGGUGAGUAACGCGUGGGAACGUGCCCCUUGGUACGGAAUAGCCCUGGGAAACUGGGAGUAAUACCGUAUGUGGUCGAGAGACGAAAGAUUUAUCGCCAAGGGAUCGGCCCGCGUUGGAUUAGGUAGUUGGUGGGGUAAUGGCCUACCAAGCCGACGAUCCAUAGCUGGUUUGAGAGGAUGAUCAGCCACACUGGGACUGAGACACGGCCCAGACUCCUACGGGAGGCAGCAGUGGGGAAUCUUAGACAAUGGGGAAACCCUGAUCUAGCCAUGCCGCGUGAUCGAUGAAGGCCUUAGGGUUGUAAAGAUCUUUCAGGUGGGAAGAUAAUGACUGUACCACCAGAAGAAGCCCCGGCUAACUCCGUG
rnacentral:rRNA from 1 species